rnacentral:rRNA from 1 species
GAUGAACGCUGGCGGCGUGCUUAACACAUGCAAGUCGAACGGAAAGGCUCCUGCUUGCAGGGGUACUCGAGUGGCGAACGGGUGAGUAACACGUGGGUGAUCUCCCCUGCACUUCGGGAUAAGCCUGGGAAACUGGGUCUAAUACCGGAUAGGACGAUGGUUUGGAUGCCAUUGUGGAAAGUUUUUUCGGUGUGGGAUGAGCUCGCGGCCUAUCAGCUUGUUGGUGGGGUAAUGGCCUACCAAGGCGUCGACGGGUAGCCGGCCUGAGAGGGUGUACGGCCACAUUGGGACUGAGAUACGGCCCAGACUCCUACGGGAGGCAGCAGUGGGGAAUAUUGCACAAUGGGCGCAAGCCUGAUGCAGCGACGCCGCGUGGGGGAUGACGGCCUUCGGGUUGUAAACUCCUUUCGCUAGGGACGAAGCGCAAGUGACGGUACCUGGAGAAGAAGCACCGGCUAACUACGUG